UUUACUCUGCAUAUUGUGAGAGGGCCUCAUCUAAUCAGUUGAAGGCCUGACUUCUCCUGAGCAAGAGGCAAUUCUGCCAGCAGAUGGUCUUCAGACUUGAAUUGAAACAUUGGCUCUUCACUGGGUCUCCAACCUGCCAGCCUAUCAGCCUAUCCUAUAGAUUUUGGACUUGCCAGAAUGCUUAAUCAAAUAAGAUCGACUUUGCAAAGAAGUUCAUUCUGAUGGCUAUUAUAUUGCAAUGACUGAGUGAAAAGUAUUUUUCUCAUUUGCUGAUUUCCUGAAGAGGACACCCACAGCCUUGAAAGAAUCCCUGAGUCUACUGCUUCCUUUCACACUGAAAUUACACAUCCCCAGCACCCACUCAACAAAGUUUAUGCUUCAUUGCAAGGCUAAUGGAUACAUUUGUAAUCACAUACAUACUUACACACAGAGAAGGCCCCAGGAAUGUACACGGUACACAGAUGCAAUCUGCUGGUGCAUCAAGUGCAUCAGCAAUGGUGGGAUUUUCCAUCCGUGGCAUGAUUGUCCAAACUGGCGAACAACUCUUGAUAAAGACCUGAAUAAAAUAAAGUACCUCUC